rnacentral:rRNA from 1 species
AUACGUAGGUGGCGAGCGUUAUCCGGAAUUAUUGGGCGUAAAGAGUGAGCAGGCGGUUAAUUAAGUCUGAGGUUUAAGCGUGGGGCUCAACCCCAUAAAGCCUUGGAAACUGAUUGACUAGAGUACGGGAGAAGUGAAGGGAACUCCAUGUGUAGCGGUGAAAUGCGUAGAUAUAUGGAAGAACACCAGUGGCGAAGGCGCUUCACUAGCCCGAAACUGACGCUCAGUCACGAAAGCGUGGGUAGCAAAUAGGAUUAGAUACCCUAGUAGUCCACGCUGUAAACGAUGACAACUAAAUAUUGCCGCGAGGCAGUGUUGAAGCUAACGCAUUAAGUUGUCCGCCUGGGGAGUACGGUCGCAAGACUGAAACUUAAAUGAAUUGACGGGG